rnacentral:rRNA from 1 species
GACGUAGGGCGCGAGCGUUGUCCGGAAUUACUGGGCGUAAAGAGCUCGUAGGUGGUUUGUCGCGUUGUUCGUGAAAACUCACAGCUUAACUGUGGGCGUGCGGGCGAUACGGGCAGACUGGAGUACUGCAGGGGAGACUGGAAUUCCUGGUGUAGCGGUGGAAUGCGCAGAUAUCAGGAGGAACACCGGUGGCGAAGGCGGUUCUCUGGGCAUUACCUGACGCUGAGGAGCGAAAGUGUGGGGAGCGAACAGG